AUUGAACGCUGGCGGCAGGCCUAACACAUGCAAGUCGAACGGUAACAGGGAUCAGCUUGCUGAUUCGCUGACGAGUGGCGGACGGGUGAGUAAUGUCUGGGAAACUGCCUGAUGGAGGGGGAUAACUACUGGAAACGGUAGCUAAUACCGCAUAACGUCGCAAGACCAAAGAGGGGGACCUUCGGGCCUCUUGCCAUCGGAUGUGCCCAGAUGGGAUUAGCUAGUAGGUGGGGUAACGGCUCACCUAGGCGACGAUCCCUAGCUGGUCUGAGAGGAUGACCAGCCACACUGGAGCUGAGACACGGUCCAGACUCCUACGGGAGGCAGCAGUGGGGAAUAUUGCACAAUGGGCGCAAGCCUGAUGCAGCCAUGCCGCGUGUAUGAAGAAGGCCUUCGGGUUGUAAAGUACUUUCAGCGGGGAGGAAGGGAGUAAAGUUAAUACCUUUGCUCAUUGACGUUACCCGCAGAAGAAGCACCGGCUAACUCCGUG
rnacentral:rRNA from 1 species